GGAGGCGUCGCAUAGUGGUCUAGUGCGCGACCCUGGAAAGGUCGUAUAUCCGCAAGGGUAUCGAGAGUUCGAAUCUCUCCGCCUCCG
rnacentral:tRNA from 1 species